rnacentral:rRNA from 1 species
GACGAACGCUGGCGGCGUGCUUAAUGAAUGCGAGUCGAGCGAGAACCAGAUGAGUGCCUUGCACAAGUCUGGGGAGAGCGGCAAACGGGUGAGUAACACGUGGGUAACCUGCCCUGCAGACGGGCAUAACAGUUGGAAACGACUGCUAAUUCCCGAUGGUCUGUGGGAGCGUAAGCUUCCAUAGUAAAGGUUUAUUCCGCUGCAGGAUGGGCCCGCGGGCCAUUAGCUUGUUGGUAGGGUAACGGCCUACCAAGGCGACGAUGGCUAGCCGGUCUGAGAGGAUGGUCGGCCACACUGGGACUGAGACAUGGUCCAGACUCCUCCGGGAGUUAGCAUCAGGGAAUCUCGCGCAAUGGGCGAAAGCCUGACGCAGCGACGCCGCGUGAGGGAUGAAGGUCUGCGGAUCGUAAACCUCUGUAAGCAGGGACGAAUGCCCGAUUCGGUCGGGAGUGACGGUACCUGCAGAGUAAGCUCCGGCUAACUACGUG